rnacentral:rRNA from 1 species
AGCGAACGCUGGCGGCAGGCCUAAAACAUGCAAGUCGAACGCCCGUAGCAAUACGGGAGUGGCAGACGGGUGAGUAACACGUGGGAACGUGCCCUUUGGUUCGGAACAACACAGGGAAACUUGUGCUAAUACCGGAUAAGCCCUUACGGGGAAAGAUUUAUCGCCAGAGGAUCGGCCCGCGUCUGAUUAGCUAGUUGGUGAGGUAACGGCUCACCAAGGCUACGAUCAGUAGCUGGCUGAGAGGAUGAUCAGCCACACUGGGACUGAGACACGGCCCAGACUCCUACGGGAGGCAGCAGUUAGGAAUCUUGGACAAUGGGCGCAAGCCUGAUCCAGCCAUGCCGCGUGAGUGAUGAAGGCCUUAGGGUUGUAAAGCUCUUUCAGGCGGGGAAGAUAAUGACGGUACCCGCAGAAGAACGCCCCGGCUAACUACGUGCCAGCCGCCGCCGUAA